CACCCGGACCAGUCGGAUGACCCUGAGGAUGGCCAGAGACAUGGUCUGUCCGUUUCCGUGUUCCUGAGGUUCUUCUACCUGCUGCUCGGCCAGCUCCGUCCCCACCGUGAUAAAAUAAGGCAGGAUAGACAUUAUAUCUAUGAUGUUCAUAACAGUCUUGGAAAACUCUGACUUACUAGGACAGGCGAAGAAACGGACGAUGAAUUCAAACGUAAACCAGAUUACGCAGGUGGUUUCCACGAUGAAGAAAGGGUCCGUGAAGUUUGUUCUUUGUUAUAGAGCCAAAAUAAUUGGAGAAGUUGUAACGCUUGUCGUCUGUAGAAGAAGGGGACCAAAGCGCAGCGUGGUCUGGUUUCAAGUCACAGAGGGAAACGGUAACCAUAACGACAGG
rnacentral:lncRNA from 1 species